rnacentral:lncRNA from 1 species
ACCGUGAGAGUUAUCUAUUCAAGAAAACUUACCACUGACUUAUUUUCUAAUGAUUUGCAGUUCUGACAAAGACAGAGCUAAAGAGAGGAGAGCCACUGACUCAACAUCAGCAAGAGGAUUUGAAAGAGGAUUCAAGAAAGCAAAAUUUAGAGACAGCAAGAGCAGGGAAGAAAGAUCCCGAGAAAGCCAAACAACAGAGAAUUCCAGGCCAGUUUUCAAGUCACCUGUCACACAUGAGAAGGAGCAAGUGAAUCAUAAAGUCAAGCAUGAAAAAGCAAGUCCCCAUAUCUCAGGGAGAAGCUCGAGCAGGCAUGCUGCAACAAAUCAGCCUUCUUCAAAAGAGUUGGAGAAAAAGAGACAGGAGCUGGUAUCGAGGAGAUCCACAGCAGAGUAUCCCAGGCGGACACCUGCAAAGGAUGAUUGUUCCCCUGAGAAACCACAAGAGAAAAGGAGGAAACUCAUGAAAAGGCCGUUGUCAACAGAGCUUCAUGCUGAACCCAAACGAAGAGACAUCAAAAACAUGACCAAUGCUGUACAUGCAGAAUCUCAUUCUGAAGUUCAAAAGGAAACGAGGAAGACGUUGGUGGCCAGGAGGUCCAAGAAGAUUGACCAUAAUGUUGGUGCACAGAGUUCUCAAGGCAACUCCAAAGAAGCUUUGCCAGUAGUGAAACAUGUAGGCUCUAAACUGAAAUUACCAGAAGAUAUUUCACCCAAGAAGCUAGAUCAUGUGCAGUUGGGCAAUGUCCCCGGUGUAAUCUUAGGAGAAAAAAGGCCAUCCCUGGUUGGUCCCACAGCAAAUGUCAGUUUCAAGAUCCCAAAGAAGGUCACUGCUGUUAAAGCUUGGACAAACACGGAUGUGUGUAAUGUGAAUUCUUCAUAUAGCAGGACUCAAAGUACCACUCAGCCUUCUUUCCCUGAUUCUACUCCAUCUAAACACAAAUUUCUCAUCUCACAGCAAGGUCAGAGGCUUCAAGAGGUUUCUUCUCGAACCUCUCAUAAACCCUCUUCUCUUAGCUUGUCACAUCUUUUGUCUACAUCUCACUGCAAACCAGUCCAGACAGUCCAGCAGACACACACUGACAAAACAAGAGAGGCCACAACGCCGAGCAAUACUUCCUGCAAGGUACAACAUGUAACUCUCCAGGAGGCUGCAGAGACCCUUGACUGCGACCACGAGAUGGAGCUGGUGGAGGAGCUUCAUCUGGCACGCUCUGAGAGGCGACUGGAGGUGAACUUGAUAAAGAACUGCGGAGAGCUCACCUGCAUGGACAUUGACGCUCCAGAAGAGGGUGCCGGCACAAUGCUUAGUAAAGUCACCUAUGAAUUAUUUUUGUGAUUGGUGAACAGCUUAGACGGUGUUUCAGUACUGCCCCACCCCUUUUUCCAUCAUUCAACAAAAGCUUUUGGCGAAUCCGGCACUACUCACUCGUGUUGUGGAAGCUGUCCUCAGUAAAAUGCGCAGCACACAAUAGCAAAUUGGGUUAUAAUGUCCACUUCGCAGGGCACUUACAGUCAAAUAUAACAAACGUAUGAAGCAAUAAGAGAAACAUACAAAAUGUGCAGAGCGGGGGUACGCGAGGACUGGAAAUGAGAACCGCUGUUCUAGACAUGCCAAAAAUUUGAGGCUACAGCACAGCAGCUCUUCUUCUUGGUUUUCUCUGAUGCACUAACUCUGCAGCAGCACUUCUUCUUCAUCGUCUCGUCUAAUGCGCUGACUCAACCUAGCGUUCUAACCACGACCUCGCCCUCCCCACCCCCCAACCAUUCGAAUUUCUGUAGGCGGGAAUUAUUUGUAAUGAUAUUCCAAUGAGCCGCUUUGUGAUAUCACAAAGCCCGGAAAACAAACGCUGUAGUCCAAACGAGCCAUUUGCUGUAUUUCUUGAAAAUGGAUUUUUAAAAAACUAAAUAUCUCCCUUUGGAGUGGACUUUGAGAUUUGUGAAAAAGCAUAAUAGGACCCCUUUAAAUAACUUAUUACUGGAAUAGCUAAAGGCCCGUUCACUCUCCAAGAAUGAUAACUAUAAAAAUAAAUAUGUCAGUGUUUGAACGGAUGUCAAUGUUUUUAUCGUUCAUCGGCUGGAAAAAAAUAAUUGCGAAAGUGAUUCCAACAAUAUCCUUGGUGCCGUUAUCAUCGUAGUUGUUGUGUGGACUGUGCUAGUUAUUUACAUUUAGAGCGAUUUAAAAUUAUAUCUUUAUUGUUAUCGUUAUCAUCCUUGGUGUACGGGCCUCAAGUUAGUAAUGUCCAGCAGUAUGCACCUUGUUGUAAAGAUUCUUUUAUUUGAAUCAUGGUGCAUAGUUAUGCUUUAUUGUGUCUUUGUGCGUUUAACUCAUACAUGUGAAGAUCAACAUAAACAGGCCCUGCUUAUUGUUCUGGAUACCAAUGUGCUGCUCAGCCACCUGGAGUUUGUGAAGAAGAUUAGGUCACAUGGUCUCGGUGGUAAGAAAAAAAGAGAGAUUUUAAGUCACUAGCUUUUAACUUUAAAACAUUGGAAGAAUUAUGUGGAUGCAACAUUUCACUCGGAACAUCCUCAUCACAGGGCUGGGGUUCCCCACUUUGCUGAUCCCAUGGGUGGUGCUGCAGGAGUUGGACUAUCUAAAGAGUGGUAAACUCUCCAGCAAAGUGGAAUACAAAGCCAGGCCAGCUGUCCACUACAUUUACAGCUGCCUAAAAAAUCAGGAGCCCAGACUUGUGGGCCAGUCAAUGCAGCAGGCAUCUCAAGCUGUUGGUGAGUGAUUCUUAUCCUGAGAUGCAUUAUUAUUUGUAUUCGUGAUGUGCCUGUACUGUGU